CGGUGUUUUGUUAAUUUUAAACGCUGUUCCAAGUCGCGUGUGUGGAUGCAGGCACUGGCACACCUGCCGGAAAAGUUUCUGUUGAUUCAAUUUUCUUCUUUUUUUUACGAAUUUAUGUUUGUGUUCCUGCUGCGUGUGAUUUUUGUAUGUGUGCUUUUUUAAAAAUUGCCAUACAAAGCAGACGUGCAGAUUGUUUCGAAAGUUGCCGGCUUGUUUGUUCUUUCUGGCGUUGUUACGCCUGUUUGCCAUUUCGCUUUUGAAGUCUCCAAUGACAUCGACAUCACGGCGAGCGACUUGUGAAAUUCAAAGAAAAUGGAAAUUAAAUGAACUUGAAAUUCUGAGCAGCUAGGCUUGGAAAAACAAACAGCAUACACACACUCCUGCGACACAAAGACAUCGCCGAAAACAACGGAAUGGACUUCUUUUUCAUCGCCCAUGGCUAAGGUCUCCACGUUAAAUUCGCCAAAUUGCACAAGGAGUUUCUAAAAGGAGA